rnacentral:rRNA from 1 species
AUUGAACGCUGGCGGCAGGCCUAACACAUGCAAGUCGAGCGGAUGAGGAGAGCUUGCUCUCCGAUUCAGCGGCGGACGGGGGAGUAAUGCCUAGGAAUCUGCCUGGUAGUGGGGGACAACGUUUCGAAAGGAACGCUAAUACCGCAUACGUCCUACGGGAGAAAGUGGGGGAUCUUCGGACCUCACGCUAUCAGAUGAGCCUAGGUCGGAUUAGCUAGUUGGUGGGGUAAGGGCCUACCAAGGCGACGAUCCGUAACUGGUCGGCAGAGGAUGCUCAGUCACACUGGAACUGAGACACGGUCCAGACUCCUACGGGAGGCAGAAGUGGGGAAUAUUGGACAAUGGGCGAAAGCCUGAUCCAGCCAUGCCGCGUGUGUGAAGAAGGUCUUCGGAUUGUAAAGCACUUUAAGUUGGGAGGAAGGGCUGCUGGUUAAUACCCUGCAGUUUUGACGUUACCAACAGAAUAAGCACCGGCUAACUUCGUGCCAGCCGCCGCGGUAACAC